AAAAAAAAAAAAAAAAAAGAAGUAAUAGCAGCAAGAGGAGAACAGAAAAGGGUCAGAAUGAUGAAUGAAUGGGUACAUGAAUGUCUUCGCGUAUUCUCUUUUUGGUUUUGAAAGUGUUUCUUUCCUCUCUCAAUGUCUUUCUCACUUGCAC
rnacentral:ribozyme from 11 species